UCUCAUGUGUUAUUUGAGGGGAAGAGGAGGGGGGGUCUGGUAUUUGAGCUUGUGCGUGUGUGUUGGGGGAGGGGCGGACGGGGUUAACGUGAGAAAGAAAAGGAGACAGCAGCGACAGACUAAAGAAAAAGUGAAGAAAAGGGGGUGGGGAUUGGCUUGGAGCAGUUUCUUCAUUUUUGUGUGUCUCAACCUCAUCAUUCCACUUUGAAAGAUUUACUUUAAAAAAAAAAAUACCAUAAGUCGCUCCGAAUUAUUCGCACAGUUAUUGGAAAUGGUUGAUCUUGCUGGUUGAAGUUGGGGUUUUCAUAGCAGUGACUAAUAGUGCUUCUCAGUUUUGCCCUUUUCAGUGGGAUCUGCCCUCAGCUGCUAAACACACACAAGCCCUCCUCUGUAGCAGCGGCUGACGUCAACCGUCACUUAGCAACAGCCUUUUGGUGUAAAAGCAGCAGUGCUGACACCGUUUUCAAAAGAGGCGCACAGAGAGAGACAGAAAGAAAUUUCAGAGUGAAUGAGAAACAGAUAGAGAGGAUAAAAAAGAAGAAGAAAGUGAGUAAAAUGUGGGCUGUCAUUGGACUGAACAAACAGUCAACACAUGCAAGGUUCAACAACCUCAUCCUGAACCGAGAAGCUCAGCCACCUGAAAUGUUUGCAUUGUUGGGAACCAUGCAGAGUCAUCAGAAUCUUUGGACGAACGCAGAAAAUAAGAAGCUUGACUGAAAAAAUUCCCUUCAUCGAUGACAGUGUUCUGAAUAAUGAUAAAAAGGGGAAUACCUUUUAUUUUGUAAAAGGAAAAAAUGGAACUACAUAGGGCUAAUUUCUUUGUCUGAUUCUGUGAGAAUAAGCUAAAUGGCCUGAAGUGAAAUCUUCCGUGACAACUUUUUCCAGCGAAAGCUCCUUUCUAUUGCACGGCGUCUGCAGACGAAGAAUUUCUCCCCUUCUCAUCACUGCUGGAGGCAGACACUAUAUUCUACAGGGCGAUUAAUAAGACUUGGCAUUUUUUUCUUCAUUGCAAUCACCCUGUGGUACGUCACUGGGUUGUGACGUCAAUGUUAUAUCAUUCCACAUGGCUUUACAGCAAGCGAACGUGACAGCUGAGAGCUGCUCUGCGUUUUCGCUGCUCUCCCUUCCAACCUUUUCUCUCUGCAGCCUGCGCCUCUGUUCUCGUCUGAAUGGGGGGUUAGUUAAGUGUGUUAUUUACCCCUGCCUGCCCCCGCCGAGUGGUAACCACACAAAAAGAGGGCCUUCUCCUCCUGAAUGCAGCAUCACACUGCCAGCUCUGCCCCUGAGGUCUUAGUCAUGAUGUAGUGAGCUUUCAGAUUUCUGCCAUGAAAAAACCCAAAUACUAUAAUCCUGCUUAGAAAUUAUUAUCUCCACUUUGUACUCUUAAUCUAUCAAAAAAUAGGUCUAAGAGAGACAUGCUGACGUAGUUUUGAUGUAAGCAGGUUGUCAUUCAGGCUGGGCAAUAAAAUCAUUGUUAUGGAAAACAUAUCUGGAAUAAAGGACAUCAAUCUGGCCGUUCACAAAUUUUAUUUUCACCUGCAAAUUGUGUUAAUAAAAUUCUACAUCCCAGCUUGUGACCUAAGUGUCUGCUGAACAGUUCAAAUAAAGCAAUUUGAAAUUAAUUCAGUAAAUACACAUUCUCUCUGCUUUUUUUUAACAUGGCAUAAGUCAAAAUCUAGGAAUUAAUCUAGCAAUUAGGAUAAAACAAGGACCGAAGGAAAAACAAACCUCAUUCAAACCUCUGACACAUUUGUACCCCCAACACUGAGUAGAUAUUUGUGUUCAUGGUUUUUCACCAUUUUUUUUAUGACUGAAUGCAGUGAUGUUCACACCUCUGCAAAGACAGACUCUUUUCCUAUGAUUCAUGAGUUCUAAUUAAGCAUUCCCUAUUUUCUUUGAAAAUCUUUGUGCAUAAUAGUGAAGAAAAAUGAAAUGAAAGCAAAUACGUUGACGGUUUUUCCUCCCCAGUCAGUCUGGCACAUUUAAAGCUCACACCUUCAAUAAAGAUGCUCUGAUAUGGAGACUUUCACUGAUCACUGAAACAACACUUCAUAUGUAACAGUCAGAUAAUGACUUUUGGGGAAGACACAGUUAGUUUUUGACUCAUAAUGAGAUCUUAGUAUGACUUAAAGAUGCAUAAGUCUGCUCAUCUAAAACAACUAUUAUGCUUUUAAUGCAUACUUCUGCUCAAAGUUCACAAGCACAUAUAGGCUGGGUGUACAGGCUGUGCAUGAAAACAUGUAGAAACAAUUUUCUUUAACACAAGAAAAAGAAGUUUUUCAUCAGAGCUGAUGCUGACAAAAAACAUUUGACACCAGAUGAUUGGCUGUAAAAAAAUGUUGCUUUAUAUUACGCUAUUACAGCUUAGCUCACUUUGCAAUAAAGACCUAGUUCUGAUCAAAAUGUUAAAGGUUAUUUAAAAAAUGAGACAAUUUUUAGGGUAGUAUUUUCUUGAUUUUUAUGUUACAAUGUCACAAUUUAAUAAAACUGAUUAAAUAGCAUGAAGAAAAUAAUCAAACACACUGACAAACUAUAUGUGUGCAAGUUUUUCUGUCUUCAACUUUCAUAUAUAGAUAUUAAGAUUUUUAAAGAUUUUUUUUGGGGGGGGGCAUUGGAACCUUAAACUUAUUUGCCUUACACUUAAUAUCUGCCCCACAUUCCUGUAACAUUGGAGGUAGAGGUGGGCCGAUCCAUUUUUUUCAAAUCUUAUCUGAGUCCUAUUCAUAUGUACCGAUAUCUGAUAUUAAUUCCGCUUUUUUUCUAAAUUAUAGUUAAUAUGCUUCCUGUUUUUGGUGAGGUUACACAAUGCUCUAGUAAACUUGAGUUAGUAUUUCGUAUUUAAAGGCCAACAAAUAAGCAUAAAACUUAAUAUCCCAUAGAAACAGGUAGCAGCAACAAAUGUAAUGUUUUCAAAAUACAAUCAUAUGAUUUCAUAAUCACAAACUAAAAAUUUACAGAAAAUGCAAGCACUACAUUUCUUAAUGUGGAUUUUCACUAGAGAGGAAAAAACACCUUGGAACUCAUUACUGUUGCUUUACAUUAAUCAUACGGACACAAACGAUUAACAUUUUGGCUUUUAUCAAACUGCCCUUUAGUGCUGUAGUGAAAUAUGAUGAUGAGUGGAUUAAGACAUAACACACUACUACGUUAGCAGUGGCAUAGUUUGCAACACAAUUCAUGCAACCCUGCAGUGCAGUCACAGCCCAACAAAAACAUCAAAAUUCAGAUCAGCAGUCUUUCAAAUGUCCAGUAUAAAAAUAAAAUAAUUAUUGGACCAGAUACAGAUACCGGAUCAGAUCUGGUCCAUCUCCAAUUGGAUGUGUGCUUCAUUCAUUGAUCUUCAUUCACAGUUUAGCUCUUCUACAUCUUAUUGUAUCUGGCACUACUAUCUGUAAAGCUGAUUUCUCCAUGUAAAAAAUCAUUUAUAUACAUGUCCGUUUGCUGUAGCUGCUUUUGAAGACACAACCAAUUGCAAACUCUUCAUGUGUUAGUGAUUAAAACUGUGAUAACUACAGAAAUCUGAAAUAUAUUUAGAUUGGUUUUCUGUU